AUGAAGACAAGAUACCCAUAAAGCUCCCUGAAGUCCCAAAUGGCCACUAGGUUCUGCUCCUCUGAGAUCAUCCCUGAUAAAAUUAUCCUGCACAAAGCUCCUGAUAAAUUCAAGUGACAAGAAGAUUAUGGGGCUUGAAGAAGAAAAGUUAAGUAAAGAGUAGCAGAGGUGGUGACAAGGGUCUAGAAUGUAGAGUUGGUGUACAGGCCUCGCAGACUCUAGCUGCCAUGAGAACCUGGAAAACUCUCCAGUUACCUUCUUAAGACUAGUCACCCUUACAGGCAGGCUGGAGAUAUGAAAUGACUUGAGGGCUAUAGGAGUCCCCAGAUCCUGAAACACCUUUUUUUAACCAUGCUGGAAACUUCACUUGAAAUUUAUUCCCCUGCCUGUUACAGAUUCCUUGGUCCCUUUGAAGAAAAGAAGUGCAGGAAAACACUAGGAUGUAAGAAGUCACAGGAGUUUGAGAGAUACAUCAAAUGGAGAUGUGUAAGAUGA
rnacentral:lncRNA from 1 species